GUUGUCCGUGAAAUGCACCCAACGCUUGAGCUUUCAGGGGUUUUGGGAAAUCAGAUCUGGGCAGUGCUUGUGUGGUUUCGCUGGAGACAUUAUGCAUGCCAAGUUUCUGCUUUCUGCUUUCUCCCUCUUGGAUAAUCAGCUGGGUUACAUGGAUUCUUAGAAGCUGGUUGUAGAGAUCACCAUCUCGAUUUUGAACCCAAGAAGCCUUAUUCAGGGUUCAAGUGGGAAAAUACCUGCUGGCCCAUGGCCCUUGAGGCUCUUGGUGAUGACGACGUAUGUCUGUUUCUUUCUAGUUGACCACGUUGUUCCUGAGCCUGGGACAAGCCUGCUUGCUGCCUUUGACCAGUGGAGGGAAUGGGCUGACAGCAAGUCCUGCUGUGACUACUCUCUGCAUGUGGACAUCAGCGAGUGGCACAAGGGCAUCCAGGAGGAGAUGGAAGCGCUUGUGAAGGAUCACGGGGUAAACUCCUUCCUCGUGUACAUGGCUUUCAAAGAUCGCUUCCAGCUAACGGAUUGCCAGAUUUAUGAAGUACUGAGUGUGAUCCGGGAUAUUGGCGCCAUAGCCCAAGUCCAUGCAGAAAAUGGCGACAUCAUUGCAGAGGAGCAGCAGAGGAUCCUGGAUCUGGGCAUCACGGGCCCCGAGGGACAUGUGCUGAGCCGACCCGAGGAGGUCGAGGCCGAAGCCGUGAAUCGUGCCAUCACCAUCGCCAACCAGACCAACUGCCCC
rnacentral:sRNA from 1 species